rnacentral:rRNA from 1 species
AGAGUUUGAUCCUGGCUCAGGAUGAACGCUGGCGGCGUGCUUAACACAUGCAAGUCGAAGAUGACUUCUGUGCUUGCACAGAAUGAUUAGUGGCGAACGGGUGAGUAACACGUGAGUACCUGCCCUUGACUUCGGGAUAAGCCUGGGAAACCGGGUCUAAUACCGGAUACGACCUCCGGCGCAUGCCAUGGGGGUGGAAAGCUUUAUUGCGGUUUUGGAUGGACUCGCGGCCUAUCGCUUGUUGGUUGGGGUAAUGGCCCACCAAGGCGACGACGGGUAGCCGGCCUGAGAGGGUACCGGCCACACUGGGACUGAGACACGGCCCAGACUCCUACGGGAGGCAGCAGUGGGGAAAUUGCACAAUGGGCGAAAGCCUGAUGCAGCGACGCCGCGUGAGGGAUGACGGCCUUCGGUUGUAAACCUCUUUCAGCAGGGAAGAAGCGAAAGUGACGGUACCUGCAGAAGAAGCGCCGCUAACUACGUGCCAGCAGCCGCGGUAAUACGUAGGGCGCAAGCGUUAUCCGGAAUUAUGGGCGUAAAGAGCUCGUAGGCGGUUUGUCGCGUCUGCUGUGAAAGCCCGGGGCUCAACCCGGGUCUGCAGUGGGUACGGGCAGACUAGAGUGAUGUAGGGGAGACUGGAAUUCCUGGUUAGCGGUGAAAUGCGCAGAUAUCAGGAGGAACACCGAUGGCGAAGCAGGUCUCUGGGCAUAACUGACGCUGAGGAGCGAAAGCAUGGGGAGCGAACAGGAUUAGAUACCCUGGUAGUCAUGCCGUAAACGUUGGGCACUAGUGUGGGGGACAUUCCACGUUUUCCGCGCCGUAGCUACGCAUUAAGUGCCCGCCUGGGGAGUAC